rnacentral:lncRNA from 1 species
CCAUUUUUAUGCCCCACCUACGAUAGUAGAGGGGCAUUAUGUUUUCUGGUCUGUGCGUCCGUUCGUUCGUCCGUCCGUCCGUUCGUUCGUCCGUCCGUCCGUUCGUCCGUCCGUCCGUUCGUUCGUCCAUCCGUCCGUCCGUCCGUUCGUUCGUUUGUUCGUCCGUCUGUCCCGCUUCAGGUUAAAGUUUUUGGUCAAGGUAGUUUUUGAUGAAGUUGAAGUCCAAUUGACUUCAAACUUGGUA